UAUUGGUUCCCUCGCAAUGAUAGUUUGUGAACUUGGUCAGGCCCGGAAGGGAGCAGCCACAGCAGAUGACUCAUGUGCCGAGGUGUAGCUGGUAAGG
rnacentral:SRP_RNA from 1 species